CUGAAGGGUUAUGUCAAGGAGUCGAAUGAGGAGGUAACGCUCUGAAAGGCUCUCCCUGCGUCGAAUAGCACGCUGUUUAGUAAGGAAUAACGUGUUAUAAGCUCGGCUAAUAGGCGUGAGAAUUAAUAGAGAUAAAAGGGAAGGCCAAAAAUGAACUUGAACUCACCUUGCAAACCA
rnacentral:ncRNA from 1 species